GAAACGUAGCUACUGAAUCUUUAUGUGUCAUUAAAGAUAAUGUAAAGGAAAAUAAUGAUAUUACUUUACUAUUAGUGUCGUCCAAAUACUCGUGCCAGAAGACUCGGUAAGGCGAGAGACGCAAACGUUAUUCGUCUUGAUCAGGCGUAAAGGGUGUGUAGGCUGCUUUAAGUAUUUAAACAGUGUUUACUGUUAUAAUUACUACAAUUUAACUUUAUUAAAUUGGUUUAAUAAAUCUAUUUAAGAAAAGCAAUUGAAAGGAUUAUAAUAUCUGUAUAAAUCAAUUAAAGCUAGAAUCUAAAAGAGGUUAAAACAAUACUUAAGGUAGGAGUACUAACCGUAAAUAUUAAGUAGAGUGCUAACGGCGAAGGCAUUUAUCCACUACAGAUUGACGCUGAGAAACGAAAGUGAGGGCAGAAAAAAGGAUUAGAGACCCUUGUAUUCCUCACUGUCAACGAUGAAUGGUAGUUAUUAGUUAGAAAUAAACUAGAGGCGAUGUUAACACGUAAACCAUUCCGCCUUGUGAGUACAACUGCAAAGUUGAAAACAAAAAAAUUAGUCGGUUUCGGAGCAAACGAAGUGAAGCAUGUUAUUUAAUUCAUAAAAAUCCCGCG
rnacentral:rRNA from 1 species